GGACUACACGGGUUUCUAAUCCCGUUCGCUCCCCUGGCUUUCGCGCCUCAGCGUCAGGACGGGUCCAGCACGCCGCCUUCGCCACCGGAGUUCCUGUGGAUCUCAACGCAUUUCACCGCUCCACCCACAGUUCCGCGUGCCCCUACCCGCCUCCAGGCCGCCCGUAUCCGAGGCCGUCCCCCCGUUGAGCGGGGGGAUUUCACCCCGGACGCGGCGGCCCGCCUACGCGCCCUUUAAGCCCAGUGAUUCCGAACAACGUUCGCACGGUUCGUCUUACCGCGGCUGCUGGCAC
rnacentral:rRNA from 3 species